rnacentral:rRNA from 1 species
UACGUAGGGUGCAAGCGUUUAAUCGGAAUUACUGGGCGUAAAGCGUGCGCAGGCGGUUGUGCAAGACAGAUGUGAAAUCCCCGGGCUUAACCUGGGAACUGCAUUUGUGACUGCACGGCUAGAGUGUGUCAGAGGGGGGUAGAAUUCCACGUGUAGCAGUGAAAUGCGUAGAGAUGUGGAGGAAUACCGAUGGCGAAGGCAGCCCCCCUGGGAUAACACUGACGCUCAUGCACGAAAGCGUGGGGAGCAAACAGG